rnacentral:rRNA from 1 species
AGAGUUUGAUCAUGGCUCAGAUUGAACGCUGGCGGCAUGCCUUACACAUGCAAGUCGAACGGCAGCAUGGGAGCUUGCUCCUGAUGGCGAGUGGCGAACGGGUGAGUAAUAUAUCGGAACGUGCCCUAGAGUGGGGGAUAACUAGUCGAAAGAUUAGCUAAUACCGCAUACGAUCUACGGAUGAAAGUGGGGGAUCGCAAGACCUCAUGCUCUUGGAGUGGCCGAUAUCUGAUUAGCUAGUUGGUAGGGUAAAAGCCUACCAAGGCGACGAUCAGUAGCUGGUCUGAGAGGACGACCAGCCACACUGGGACUGAGACACGGCCCAGACUCCUACGGGAGGCAGCAGUGGGGAAUUUUGGACAAUGGGCGCAAGCCUGAUCCAGCAAUGCCGCGUGAGUGAAGAAGGCCUUCGGGUUGUAAAGCUCUUUUGUCAGGGAAGAAACGGCCGAGGCUAAUACCCUCGGCUAAUGACGGUACCUGAAGAAUAAGCACCGGCUAACUACGUGCCAGCAGCCGCGGUAAUA